UUAGUAGCGUAUAUUAAAGUUGUUGCGGUUAAAAGUUCGUAGUUGGAUUUCUGCCUCUGUAACUCGGUCGGUGCUUUGCACUUGUAUCUGAGCUUUACCGGGGCAUCUGGUCGGUUCGCUUUAGUUUGUGCUUGAUUGCACAUUCUAGGCUCGGCCCUUUUACUUUGAGGAAAUUAGAGUGUUCACGGCAGGCUUAUGCCUUGAAUAUAUUAGCAUGGAAUAAUGAUAUAGGAUCUUGCGUCUAUUUUGUUGGUUUCUAGAUGCGACAUAAUGACUAAUAGGAACGGUCGGGGGCAUUGCUAUUAACGCACUAGAGGUGGAAUUCUUUGAUCGCGUUACGAGCAACUACAGCGAAAGCCAUCUGUUCAAGGACGUUUUCAUUGAUCAAGAGCGACAGAGUGAGGAUCCGAAGACGAUUAGAUACCAU
rnacentral:rRNA from 1 species